AUUCCCCUAGUAACUGCGAGUGAAGCGGGAAAAGCUCAAAUUUGAAAUCUGGCGGUCUUUGGCCGUCCGAGUUGUAGUCUGGAGAAGCGCUUUCCGCGCCGGACCGUGUACAAGUCCUCUGGAACGGGGCGUCGUAGAGGGUGAGAAUCCCGUCUUUGACACGGACUACCGGUGCUCUGUGAUGCGCUCUCGAAGAGUCGAGUUGUUUGGGAAUGCAGCUCAAAAUGGGUGGUGAACUCCAUCUAAAGCUAAAUAUUGGCGAGAGACCGAUAGCGAACAAGUACCGUGAGGGAAAGAUGAAAAGCACUUUGGAAAGAGAGUUAAACAGUACGUGAAAUUGUUGAAAGGGAAACGCUUGAAGUCAGUCACGUUCGUCCAGGAUUCAGCCUUGAGGUUUCUCUUCGGUGUAAUUUUCUGGUUUCGACGGGCCAGCAUCGAUUUCGAUUCGUCGGACAAAGACCCGGGGAAACGUGGCACCUUUCGGGGUGUGUUAUAGUCCCUUGUCGGUAUACGAUGGUCGGGAUCGAGGAACUCGGCACGCCUUUGUGGUCGGGGCUCAGGCCCACGUCUCGUGCUUAGGAUGCUGGCGUAAUGGCUUUAAACGACCCGUCUUGAAACACGGACCAAGGAGUCUAACAUGCCCGCGAGUGUUAGGGUGGAAAACCCUUGCGCGUAAAUGAAAGUGAAAGUUGGGACCUUCGAGAGGAGGGCACCGACGCCCGGACCAGACCUUCUGUGACGGAUCCGCGGUGGAGCGUGUAUGUUGGGACCCGAAAGAUGGUGAACUAUGCCUGAAUAGGGUGAAGCCAGAGGAAACUCUGGUGGAGGCUCGUAGCGAUUCUGACGUGCAAAUCGAUCGUCGAAUUUGGG
rnacentral:rRNA from 1 species